rnacentral:rRNA from 1 species
CGGCGGACGGGUGAGUAACACGUGGAUAACCUACCUAUAAGACUGGGAUAACUUCGGGAAACCGGAGCUAAUACCGGAUAAUAUAUUGAACCGCAUGGUUCAAUAGUGAAAGACGGUUUUGCUGUCACUUAUAGAUGGAUCCGCGCCGCAUUAGCUAGUUGGUAAGGUAACGGCUUACCAAGGCACGAUGCGUAGCCGACCUGAGAGGGUGAUCGGCCACACUGGAACUGAGACACGGUCCAG